UACGUAGGGUGCGAGCGUUGUCCGGAAUUAUUGGGCGUAAAGAGCUCGUAGGCGGCCACUCAAGUCGAAUGUGAAACCUCGAGGCUUAACCUCGAGCCUGCAUUCGAUACUGGGCGGCUAGAGUCUGGUAGGGGGAUCUGGAAUUCCUGGUGUAGCGGUGGAAUGCGCAGAUAUCAGGAAGAACACCAAUGGCGAAAGCAGCUUUCUGGGACGGUACUGACGCUGAGACGCGAAAGCGUGGGGAGCGAACAGG
rnacentral:rRNA from 1 species